rnacentral:rRNA from 1 species
AACGAACGCUGGCGGCAUGCCUAACACAUGCAAGUCGAACGAGCCCUUCGGGUAUAGUGGCGCACGGGUGCGUAACGCGUGGGAACCUGCCCUUAGGUUCGGAAUAACUCCCCGAAAGGGGUGCUAAUACCGGAUAAUGUCUUCGGACCAAAGAUUUAUCGCCUUUGGAUGGGCCCGCGUUGGAUUAGCUAGUUGGUAGGGUAAAAGCCUACCAAGGCGACGAUCCAUAGCUGGUCUGAGAGGAUGAUCAGCCACACUGGGACUGAGACACGGCCCAGACUCCUACGGGAGGCAGCAGUGGGGAAUAUUGGACAAUGGGCGAAAGCCUGAUCCAGCAAUGCCGCGUGAGUGAUGAAGGCCUUAGGGUUGUAAAGCUCUUUUACCCGGGAUGAUAAUGACAGUACCGGGAGAAUAAGCUCCGGCUAACUCCGUG